rnacentral:lncRNA from 1 species
GGUGAUUGUUUGGUGCUGAUACAACAUUGACUUUUCCCAUAAUUUAGCUUAGAGUGUUUUACACUGGGGAGUUCCAAUGUGUUUAAAUUGUAAAACUUUUUCCGAGCAUUUUUGUAGCAGAACUCCAUGUUCUAAUAGCCCCGGCAAAGUUGUUUUUAAUACUUUUUCUCUACGAAUUUUCAUUAAAAUUUAAUUCCAUUUUAACUUUGUCAAUUUUCCCCAAAGAUAAAUUAAGACACACAGAGAGAUUGUCAUUUCCUGUUUGAAGUCUCAUUCCUGUGUACAAUGUCAGUCUUUUUUAUUUAGGCCUAUGCCAUUCCAUCAGGGUAAAUAACUUUCUAACUAGUCAUUUAAGAGCAACUCCCGGGAAACUGUGAUGCAAUCCCACAUAUCAGCCAGACUUCAAAAGCUGCCAGAUUAUUGUGAAAGGAGAAACACUGUUUUCGAAGGCUGCUGAUAAUGCCUAUUAGCCAGAAGAAAGAGCCUGAAUCAUUCAAAGGUUUUCCAUCUAGUAAAGAAGUGUGGUAAAAAUCUUGCCCAGAUCUGCAUGUGCUAAGCAUCUACGUAAGUUGGAGCAUCAUAUUAAUGACACCCAGUGAAGAAACGAAAGAAUGAAGUGUAAUUACUAUAUCAAAAAUCCACAGAAUGUGAAAGUAUAAAGGAAAACUCUCAGCUGCUCAGCUAAAAACUUUGGAGUUAGACAUAUGGACAGCCCACCCCAAGGGAAGAAUCAGAGGAGAAGGGACACAAGACCCCAGAAACACACAAAGCACCUUAAUAUGCAUGCUGCAUCUCUCUAAAAUUGUGGAACCUGUUUACCUGCUCUGGAGAAUGGCUGCCUGUGGCAGACAUAGGAGUUGUCCUCAUGCUGUGCUUCCUAUCUUCCACAGUAAUUGACUUGUAGCUGCAAUACAGUUACCAACCAGGAAUACAAUUUCUCAGCCCCAUGUCUUGCACCUACAGCUAAGUGUGGCCAUGUGACCAGUUUUCACCAAUUAAGUGUGAAUAGCAACAAAGUGCACCACCUUCAAUUGGAGGCUUUGAAGAAGCAGGGCAGCCUUCCCUUGCUCUCUUUCCCCUUGUUCUGGUGGGAUACAGAUGACAAUAAGGCCCUGGGUUUUGAGGUAGCCACAAGAUGCAAAAUACCUCAGACCUGAGUCACCACAAGGAAGAGAGAAGCCCACUGACAUGGAAUACCCAGCCUAGUCUACAGAUGAAUAAGAAAUAAACUUCUAUUAUGUUCGAACAUUACAGAUUUUGUUCUGUUAUAGCAGUUUAUCUCACCCUGACUAAACUGUUGCCUAUCUUCCAAGAUAGGCCCUCCUUCCCUGAAAGUGACUUUUUCAUACAUGUAAUCUGUAUUUUAAUUCAUAUUCUCCAAAGCAUAUCCACAUCUAUUCAACUAUUUUCAUGUCUUCCAUCAAU